GAUGAACGCUGGCGGCGUGCCUAAUACAUGCAGGUCGAGCGAACAGAUAAGGAGCUUGCUCCUUUGACGUUAGCGGCGGACGGGUGAGUAACACGUGGGUAACCUACCUAUAAGACUGGGAUAACUUCGGGAAACCGGAGCUAAUACCGGAUAACAUUUGGAACCGCAUGGUUCUAAAGUGAAAGAUGGUUUUGCUAUCACUUAUAGAUGGACCCGCGCCGUAUUAGCUAGUUGGUAAGGUAACGGCUUACCAAGGCGACGAUACGUAGCCGACCUGAGAGGGUGAUCGGCCACACUGGAACUGAGACACGGUCCAGACUCCUACGGGAGGCAGCAGUAGGGAAUCUUCCGCAAUAGGCGAAAGCCUGACGGAGCAACGCCGCGUGAGUGAUGAAGGGUUUCGGCUCGUAAAACUCUGUUAUUAGGGAAGAACAAAUGUGUAAGUAACUGUGCACGUCUUGACGGUACCUAAUCAGAAAGCCACGGCUAACUACGUG
rnacentral:rRNA from 1 species